CAUUGAUCUGACGGUGGAAUGUA
rnacentral:siRNA from 1 species